rnacentral:rRNA from 1 species
UGACCUCGGAUCAGGUAGGAAUACCCGCUGAACUUAAGCAUAUCAAUAAGCGGAAGGAACUUGUUACAACUUAAGCAUAUCAAUAAGCGGAAGGAACUUGUUACNACUUUUACUUCCAA